GCGAAAGUGGCGGAAUUGGUAGACGCACCAGAUUUAGGUUCUGGCNNUCGAGUCCCCCCUUUCGCACCA
rnacentral:tRNA from 1 species